AACGAACGCUGGCGGCAUGCCUAACACAUGCAAGUCGAACGAGACCUUCGGGCCUAGUGGCGCACGGGUGCGUAACGCGUGGGAACCUGCCCUUAGGUUCGGAAUAACUCCCCGAAAGGGGUGCUAAUACCGGAUAAUGUCUUCGGACCAAAGAUUUAUCGCCUUUGGAUGGGCCCGCGUUGGAUUAGCUAGUUGGUAGGGUAAAAGCCUACCAAGGCGACGAUCCAUAGCUGGUCUGAGAGGAUGAUCAGCCACACUGGGGAUGAGACACGGCCCAGACUCCUACGGGAGGCAGCAGUGGGGAAUAUUGGACAAUGGGCGAAAGCCUGAUACAGCCAUGCCGCGUGAGUGAUGCAGGCCUUAGGGUUGUAAAGCUCUUUUACCCGGGAUGAUAAUGACAGUACCGGGAGAAUAAGCUCCGGCUAACUCCGUG
rnacentral:rRNA from 1 species